UACGUAGGGGGCAAGCGUUGUCCGGAUUUAUUGGGCGUAAAGAGCGUGUAGGCGGCCAAACAGGUCAGCUGUGAAAACUCGAGGCUCAACCUCGAGACGUCGGUUGAAACCGUAUGGCUAGAGUCCGGAAGAGGAGAGUGGAAUUCCUGGUGUAGCGGUGAAAUGCGCAGAUAUCAGGAAGAACACCCGUGGCUAAGGCGGCUCUCUAGUACGUGACUGACGCUGAGACGCGAAAGCGUGGGGAGCGAACAGG
rnacentral:rRNA from 1 species